rnacentral:rRNA from 1 species
AAAUUGAAGAGUUUGAUCAUGGCUCAGAUUGAACGCUGGCGGCAGGCCUAACACAUGCAAGUCGAACGGUAACAGGAAGCAGCUUGCUGCUUUGCUGACGAGUGGCGGACGGGUGAGUAAUGUCUGGGAAACUGCCUGAUGGAGGGGGAUAACUACUGGAAACGGUGGCUAAUACCGCAUAACGUCGCAAGACCAAAGAGGGGGACCUUCGGGCCUCUUGCCAUCAGAUGUGCCCAGAUGGGAUUAGCUAGUUGGUGAGGUAACGGCUCACCAAGGCGACGAUCCCUAGCUGGUCUGAGAGGAUGACCAGCCACACUGGAACUGAGACACGGUCCAGACUCCUACGGGAGGCAGCAGUGGGGAAUAUUGCACAAUGGGCGCAAGCCUGAUGCAGCCAUGCCGCGUGUAUGAAGAAGGCCUUCGGGUUGUAAAGUACUUUCAGCGGGGAGGAAGGUGUUGUGGUUAAUAACCACAGCAAUUGACGUUACCCGCAGAAGAAGCACCGGCUAACUCCGUGCCAGCAGCCGCGGUAAUACGGAGGGUGCAAGCGUUAAUCGGAAUUACUGGGCGUAAAGCGCACGCAGGCGGUCUGUCAAGUCGGAUGUGAAAUCCCCGGGCUCAACCUGGGAACUGCAUUCGAAACUGGCAGACUUGAGUCUUGUAGAGGGGGGUAGAAUUCCAGGUGUAGCGGUGAAAUGCGUAGAGAUCUGGAGGAAUACCGGUGGCGAAGGCGGCCCCCUGGACAAAGACUGACGCUCAGGUGCGAAAGCGUGGGGAGCAAACAGGAUUAGAUACCCUGGUAGUCCACGCCGUAAACGAUGUCUACUUGGAGGUUGUGCCCUUGAGGCGUGGCUUCCGGAGCUAACGCGUUAAGUAGACCGCCUGGGGAGUACGGCCGCAAGGUUAAAACUCAAAUGAAUUGACGGGGGCCCGCACAAGCGGUGGAGCAUGUGGUUUAAUUCGAUGCAACGCGAAGAACCUUACCUGGUCUUGACAUCCACAGAACUUUCCAGAGAUGGAUUGGUGCCUUCGGGAACUGUGAGACAGGUGCUGCAUGGCUGUCGUCAGCUCGUGUUGUGAAAUGUUGGGUUAAGUCCCGCAACGAGCGCAACCCUUAUCCUUUGUUGCCAGCGGUUAGGCCGGGAACUCAAAGGAGACUGCCAGUGAUAAACUGGAGGAAGGUGGGGAUGACGUCAAGUCAUCAUGGCCCUUACGACCAGGGCUACACACGUGCUACAAUGGCGCAUACAAAGAGAAGCGACCUCGCGAGAGCAAGCGGACCUCAUAAAGUGCGUCGUAGUCCGGAUUGGAGUCUGCAACUCGACUCCAUGAAGUCGGAAUCGCUAGUAAUCGUGGAUCAGAAUGCCACGGUGAAUACGUUCCCGGGCCUUGUACACACCGCCCGUCACACCAUGGGAGUGGGUUGCAAAAGAAGUAGGUAGCUUAACCUUCGGGAGGGCGCUUACCACUUUGUGAUUCAUGACUGGGGUGAAGUCGUAACAAGGUAACCGUAGGGGAACCUGCGGUUGGAUCACCUCCUUACCUUAAAGAAGC